CGGUUGAUCCUGCCGGACCCGACUGCUAUUUGGGUGAGCUAAGCCAUGCGAGUCGAGAGGGAUACCUAAAUUUCCCACGGCAAACUGCUCAGUAACACGUGAUCAUCUGUCCCUAUAGUGAAAAAUAACCUCGGGAAACUGAGGAUAAUGUUUCAUAAUUGAAUUGGCUUGGAAAAGUUUUUCAAUAAAAGGGAUAAGGAAAAUGGUCCUUAUCCGCUAUAGGAUAGGAUCGUGUUCGAUUAUGGUUGUUGGUGAGGUAACGGCUCACCAAGCCGAUAAUCGAUAGGGGCCGUGAGAGCGGGAGCCCCGAGAUGGGUACUGAGACAACGACCCAGGCCUUACGAGGCGCAGCAGGCGCGGAACCUCCGCAAUACACGAAAGUGUGACGGGGUUACCCAAAGUGUUCUAUUUAGAACUGUGGUAGGUGAGUAAUGUCCCCUACUAGAAAGGAGAGGGCAAGGCUGGUGCCAGCCGCCGCGGUAAAACCAGCUCUUCAAGUGGUCGGGAUAAUUAUUGGGCUUAAAGUGUCCGUAGCCGGUUUAGUAAGUUCCUGGUAAAAUCGGGUAGCUUAACUAUCUGUAUGCUAGGAAUACUGCUAUACUAGAGGGCGGGAGAGGUCUGAGGUACUACAGGGGUAGGGGUGAAAUCUUAUAAUCCUUGUAGGACCACCAGUGGCGAAGGCGUCAGGCUGGAACGCGCCUGACGGUGAGGGACGAAGGCCAGGGGCGCGAACCGGAUUAGAUACCCGGGUAGUCCUGGCCGUAAACGAUGCAUACUAGGUGAUGGUACGGCCAUGAGCCGUAUCAGUGCCGUAGGGAAACCGUUAAGUGUGCCGCCUGGGAAGUACNGUCGCAAGGCUAAAACUUAAAGGAAUUGGCGGGGGAGCAC
rnacentral:rRNA from 1 species